GGUUAAGCGACUAAGCGUACACGGUGGAUGCCCUGGCAGUCAGAGGCGAUGAAGGACGUGCUAAUCUGCGAAAAGCGUCGGUAAGGUGAUAUGAACCGUUAUAGCCGGCGAUGUCCGAAUGGGGAAACCCAGUGUGAUUCGUCACACUAUCGUUAACUGAAUACAUAGGUUAACGAGGCGAACCGGGGGAACUGAAACAUCUAAGUACCCCGAGGAAAAGAAAUCAACCGAGAUUCCCCCAGUAGCGGCGAGCGAACGGGGAGCAGCCCAGAGUCUGAAUCAGCUUGUGUGUUAGUGGAACGGUCUGGAAAGUCCGACGGUACAGGGUGAUAGUCCCGUACACCAAAAUGCACAGGCUGUGAACUCGAAGAGUAGGGCGGGACACGUGGUAUCCUGUCUGAAUAUGGGGGGACCAUCCUCCAAGGCUAAAUACUCCUGACUGACCGAUAGUGAACCAGUACCGUGAGGGAAAGGCGAAAAGAACCCCGGCGAGGGGAGUGAAAAAGAACCUGAAACCGUGUACGUACAAGCAGUGGGAGCACCUUCGGGUGUGACUGCGUACCUUUUGUAUAAUGGGUCAGCGACUUAUAUUCUGUAGCAAGGUUAACCGUAUAGGGGAGCCGCAGGGAAACCGAGUCUUAACUGGGCGUUAAGUUGCAGGGUAUAGACCCGAAACCCGGUGAUCUAGCCAUGGGCAGGUUGAAGGUUGGGUAACACUAACUGGAGGACCGAACCGACUAAUGUUGAAAAAUUAGCGGAUGACUUGUGGCUGGGGGUGAAAGGCCAAUCAAACCGGGAGAUAGCUGGUUCUCCCCGAAAGCUAUUUAGGUAGCGCCUCGUGAACUCAUCUUCGGGGGUAGAGCACUGUUUCGGCUAGGGGGUCAUCCCGACUUACCAACCCGAUGCAAACUACGAAUACCGAAGAAUGUUAUCACGGGAGACACACGGCGGGUGCUAACGUCCGUCGUGAAGAGGGAAACAACCCAGACCGCCAGCUAAGGUCCCAAAGUCAUGGUUAAGUGGGAAACGAUGUGGGAAGGCACAGACAGCCAGGAUGUUGGCUUAGAAGCAGCCAUCAUUUAAAGAAAGCGUAAUAGCUCACUGGUCGAGUCGGCCUGCGCGGAAGAUGUAACGGGGCUAAACCAUGCACCGAAGCUGCGGCAGCGACACUAUGUGUUGUUGGGUAGGGGAGCGUUCUGUAAGCCUGCGAAGGUGUGCUGUGAGGCAUGCUGGAGGUAUCAGAAGUGCGAAUGCUGACAUAAGUAACGAUAAAGCGGGUGAAAAGCCCGCUCGCCGGAAGACCAAGGGUUCCUGUCCAACGUUAAUCGGGGCAGGGUGAGUCGACCCCUAAGGCGAGGCCGAAAGGCGUAGUCGAUGGGAAACAGGUUAAUAUUCCUGUACUUGGUGUUACUGCGAAGGGGGGACGGAGAAGGCUAUGUUAGCCGGGCGACGGUUGUCCCGGUUUAAGCAUGUAGGCUGGUUGUCCAGGCAAAUCCGGAUAAUCAAGGCUGAGGUGUGAUGACGAGGCACUACGGUGCUGAAGUAACAAAUGCCCUGCUUCCAGGAAAAGCCUCUAAGCAUCAGGUAACAUUAAAUCGUACCCCAAACCGACACAGGUGGUCAGGUAGAGAAUACCAAGGCGCUUGAGAGAACUCGGGUGAAGGAACUAGGCAAAAUGGUGCCGUAACUUCGGGAGAAGGCACGCUGGUGUGUAGGUGAAGUCCCUGCGGAUGGAGCUGAGACCAGUCGAAGAUACCAGCUGGCUGCAACUGUUUAUUAAAAACACAGCACUGUGCAAACACGAAAGUGGACGUAUACGGUGUGACGCCUGCCCGGUGCCGGAAGGUUAAUUGAUGGGGUUAUCCGUAAGGAGAAGCUCUUGAUCGAAGCCCCGGUAAACGGCGGCCGUAACUAUAACGGUCCUAAGGUAGCGAAAUUCCUUGUCGGGUAAGUUCCGACCUGCACGAAUGGCGUAAUGAUGGCCAGGCUGUCUCCACCCGAGACUCAGUGAAAUUGAACUCGCUGUGAAGAUGCAGUGUACCCGCGGCAAGACGGAAAGACCCCGUGAACCUUUACUAUAGCUUGACACUGAACAUUGAGCCUUGAUGUGUAGGAUAGGUGGGAGGCUUUGAAGCGUGGACGCCAGUCUGCGUGGAGCCAACCUUGAAAUACCACCCUUUAAUGUUUGAUGUUCUAACGUUGGCCCCUUACCGGGGUUGCGGACAGUGUCUGGUGGGUAGUUUGACUGGGGCGGUCUCCUCCCAAAGCGUAACGGAGGAGCACGAAGGUUAGCUAAUCCUGGUCGGACAUCAGGAGGUUAGUGCAAUGGCAUAAGCUAGCUUGACUGCGAGCGUGACGGCGCGAGCAGGUGCGAAAGCAGGUCAUAGUGAUCCGGUGGUUCUGAAUGGAAGGGCCAUCGCUCAACGGAUAAAAGGUACUCCGGGGAUAACAGGCUGAUACCGCCCAAGAGUUCAUAUCGACGGCGGUGUUUGGCACCUCGAUGUCGGCUCAUCACAUCCUGGGGCUGAAGUAGGUCCCAAGGGUAUGGCUGUUCGCCAUUUAAAGUGGUACGCGAGCUGGGUUUAGAACGUCGUGAGACAGUUCGGUCCCUAUCUGCCGUGGGCGCUGGAGAAUUGAGGGGGGCUGCUCCUAGUACGAGAGGACCGGAGUGGACGCAUCACUGGUGUUCGGGUUGUCAUGCCAAUGGCACUGCCCGGUAGCUAAAUGCGGAAGAGAUAAGUGCUGAAAGCAUCUAAGCACGAAACUUGCCCCGAGAUGAGUUCUCCCUGAGACUUUAAGUCUCCUGAAGGAACGUUAAAGACGAUGACGUUGAUAGGCCGGGUGUGUAAGCGCAGCGAUGCGUUGAGCUAACCGGUACUAAUGAACCGUGAGGCUUAACCUU
rnacentral:rRNA from 1 species